rnacentral:sRNA from 1 species
GCCGCCCAGGAGACUCUGCAGGAGGUGCACCGGUUCGUGGUCCGCGAGUACCUGGCGCGGGCGCUGAGGCCACGGGAGCGGUUCCGGGGCAUGGAGCGCAUGCAUGGCUCCCAGAAGAUGAGCCUGGAUGCCCAGGCCAUCAGCGACACCUUCCAGGGCCUGGGUUCCGAGGCCACAUGGUUGGACCAAGCCAUCCAGUGCGUGGCUGAGAUCCUGGGCGAGACCUACAAAGACGACAUCCAGCGGCACCUGGAGACUCUCAUCCGGAGCUACCCCGACAUCAGGCGGGACCACAUACUGGCCAUUCUGGCACUGCGCCGACUGGGCCGCCGGCGGAACCAGCAUCUCUUGCAGCACACCCAAGACCUGCUGAGAGCUGCGGCUGGGGUGGCGGGUGCGGAGGCCCCUCGGGGCCGCGUGCUCUUCGAGGAGAUCAAGGUGCCCAGUGCCAUGGCUGUGCUGAUCACCUGCGUCUAGUUCUCUCUGGCUCGAGGGGGGGCCGGCCGCUGGCAGGGAGCUGUGGUCAGUGGGGGUCAGCCAGGAGCCCAGGGAGUCACUCUGGGCCCUGCCCCCAACUCUGACACUGCAGUUAGGGAAUUUUUGUCGUCAGCAGCCAAGCGCAGCUGUCAGGCCAGAAGGAGCAGCCGUGCAGGAGGCAUUUCAGGCAUCGUCGAGGGGAGUGUUUUGGGGCCGCAGAGCUCUCAAUGCUGCCUGUCAGGGGGGGCCUCCCGCCCGACUGUCCAGCUUCACCCUCCAGUCUGAAAGUGAAGAGCAGAGUAUUUAUUUAAAAAAUAAAUGUGAAUUAAAA